CCGAGUUUAGCUCAGUUGGAAGAGCAUGAGACUGUAACUGGUUAACUUUCCCACCCUCACGUAAUCUCACUGUCCGGCUUGAACCGGGCCGCCCGUUCGAUCCGGGCAAGUCGGA